UUCCUCUGUUAGUAUUGUAUGCUUAAGCCUGUCAGUGGUUUGGUAUUUUUCCUGUAAUUACAGAACGAAUCAAUUCAUAGCAUAAGUAGUGUGUUUGACUUGAUGAACUAUUAAGUUAAGUAAUGGACUUACGUCUUUCUGUGCUUAUCUAGCAGUAACUGAAGUUCAAGCUGUUGAAUUGUGUUCUUUAACGUGUCAUAGGAGGAGAGUUAUUUUUUCUGGUUUUCCUCUGAUUAAUCUUUGCAAGUGGUUAUGGUUAUGUGUGAAAAACCAGAUAUAUGCAUCUAUAUAUACAUUGAGAAAUAUCAAUUAAGGACCAUUUUGUUAUGAACUUUUAUUUUGUUGAAUAUUUGUUCCAUUUGUUAUCAAUUUGUACAUUGAGAAAUAUCAAUUGAGGACCAUUUUGUUAUUGAACUUUUAUUUUGUUGGGUAUUUGUUCCAUUCAUUGUCAAGUUGUGCAUUAUCUACAACUUGAAUAACGUUUGGUAUUUGCUCCAAUUCCU
rnacentral:misc_RNA from 1 species